rnacentral:SRP_RNA from 1 species
GUCGGGCCCAGUGGCAUGUGCCUGUAGUCCCAACUAUUCUGGGAGGCUGAGGUGGGAGGAUUGCCUGAGCCCAGGAGUUCUAGGCUGCAGUGAGCUAUGAUGGCGCCACUGCACUCCAGCCUGGGUGACAGAGCAAGAUCCUGUCUGUU